GCCCGGCAAGCUCAGUCGGUAAAGCGUGAGACUCUCAAUCUCAGGGUUGUGGGUUCGAGCCCCAUGUUGGGUG